rnacentral:lncRNA from 1 species
AUGCUAUCUUAUUUGUUAUUUGAACAUCUCAAGUACCCUGGGAGUAAGGAGACUGGAACUAAGAUCUCUCUUCACAACAUGGAAGCUGAGGAUCAAAGAGGGUAUGUCACGUGCCUUGCGACAUACGACAGCAGAUCAACCGUGACAGUUGACCUAAUUCAAGUCUCUAGACUCUGGGAGCCAAGGCUUUUCCCUAAAUGCACAUGGCAGAGGUUGUCUUAGUCUUUGCUCUCAGCAUUGGUGCACUUGUAAUAUACUUCAUAGAUUCGUCAAACUCUUCCUGGCCAAGAAAGAGAAGAGCUUUUUAAGUUUGGAAAACUCCAACUGGUAUGUCAUUGAAGGUAAGCCUCAUUUAAAUAUCUCCUCUUCAGAAUUCUGGAUCAUAUUUGAAUUGAACCGAAUAUCCUCUAGAGCCGCUUGUCUUAUUUCUGCAUUUUCUCCCUCAGGGCUGAGGAGUGUUCUCAAAAGUCUUGGAGUGCACCCUGUGUCAGCUUCCGUGCCAGGGCUCAGGAAACAGUUUCAGGCUUGUAGUCUGUGAGCCCCAGGCAGGCAGACCCUUACGUGGAAGGGAAUGGGGUGAUCGGUCAGAAGGACCUUGGCGCCUUCUUUCCUUGUCUCUCCUUUUUGGCUCCUCUGUAUUUCUCAGAAAUAAAAUGCUCUUGUAAAAUUGAUUUGAACUGUGUCCUUUUUAACAGUGUCCACUGUGGAGUGGUCUUUGGCUCUGUUGGGUGUGUUGUUCUCAGCUCCAUGUGAAAGGAUAGAAGGGAAUAGAAUUCCCCAAGGCAAAGCCCUCUUUCCUGGAUGCCCCCUGCACCACCUCAGUCUCCUUUGGAUUUAGCUGUGAUUCUGCUGAGCCUGGGAAAGCCAGCCCUGGGAACCCU